rnacentral:lncRNA from 1 species
GGAAUGACAAUGGUGAAGUAGAAGUGGUGCAGGCAGAUCAUAGACCUUUUGUCGCAGAAGCAAACUCAGUGGAAAGGUUCAUGUACGAAGGAAAUUACGGACCUGUCAGAGUGGUCCAAGAUGGAGAAGAAACUCAAAUUGUUGCACAGAACGAAGAGCCAUUUUCGGUAGAUGCACUCACUGAAAUGUUCAGUCAAAUGAGGCCAAACAUAGUGGCCCUGGAAGAGCCAGUAAUUGGCAAAAAAGUAGUCAAGGAGCUUUAAA